GAUGAUGCCGGGUGCUUGCACCUGGCGGAUUAGUGGCGAACGGGUGAGUAUCACGUGAGUAACCUGCCCUUGACUCUGGGAUAAGCCUGGGAAACUGGGUCUAAUACCGGAUAUGACCAGUCCUCGCAUGGGGUGCUGGUGGAAAGAUUUUAUCGGUCUUGGAUGGACUCGCGGCCUAUCAGUUUGUUGGUGAGGUAAUGGCUCACCAAGGCGAUGACGGGUAGCCGGCCUGAGAGGGUGACCGGCCACACUGGGACUGAGACACGGCCCAGACUCCUACGGGAGGCAGCAGUGGGGAAUAUUGCACAAUGGGCGCAAGCCUGAUGCAGCGACGCCGCGUGCGGGAUGACGGCCUUUCGGGUUGUAAACCGCUUUCAGCAGGGAAGAAGCUUUUUGUGACGGUACCUGCAGAAGAAGCGCCGGCUAACUACGUGCCAGCAGCCGCGGUAAUACGUAGGGCGCGAGCGUUAUCCGGAAUUAUUGGGCGUAAAGGGCUCGCAGGCGGUUUGCCACGUCUGCUGUGAAAGCCCGGGGCUUAACUCCGGGUGUGCAGUGGGUACGGGUAGACUAGAGUGCAGUAGGGGAGACUGGAAUUCCUGGUGUAGCGGUGAAAUGCGCAGAUAUCAGGAAGAACACCGAUGGCGAAGGCAGGUCUCUGGGCUGUUACUGACGCUGAGGAGCGAAAGCAUGGGGAGCGAACAGGAUUAGAUACCCUGGUAGUCCAUGCCGUAAACGUUGGGCACUAGGUGUGGGGAACAUUCCACGUUUUCCGCGCCGUAGCUAACGCAUUAAGUGCCCCGCCUGGGGAGUACGGCCGCAAGGCUAAAACUCAAAGGAAUUGACGGGGGCCCGCACAAGCGGCGGAGCAUGCGGAUUAAUUCGAUGCAACGCGAAGAACCUUACCAAGGCUUGACAUGGACCGGAUCGCUGCAGAGAUGUAGUUUCCCUUCGGGGCUGGUUCACAGGUGGUGCAUGGUUGUCGUCAGCUCGUGUCGUGAGAUGUUGGGUUAAGUCCCGCAACGAGCGCAACCCUUGUCCUAUGUUGCCAGCACGUAGUGGUGGGGACUCAUGGGAGACUGCCGGGGUCAACUCGGAGGAAGGUGGGGAUGACGUCAAAUCAUCAUGCCCCUUAUGUCUUGGGCUUCACGCAUGCUACAAUG
rnacentral:rRNA from 1 species